GACGAACGCUGGCGGCGUGCUUAACACAUGCAAGUCGAACGAUGAAGCUGGAGCUUGCUCCGGUGGAUUAGUGGCGAACGGGUGAGUAACACGUGAGCAAUCUGCCCUUGACUCUGGGAUAACUGCGGGAAACUGUAGCUAAUACCGGAUACUUUCACUGGAAGGCAUCUUCUGGUGAAGAAAGAAUUUCGGUCAAGGAUGAGCUCGCGGCCUAUCAGCUUGUUGGUGAGGUAACGGCUCACCAAGGCGACGACGGGUAGCCGGCCUGAGAGGGGGACCGGCCACCCUGGGACUGAGACACGGCCCAGACUCCUACGGGAGGCAGCAGUGGGGAAUAUUGCACAAUGGGCGCAAGCCUGAUGCAGCAACGCCGCGUGAGGGAUGACGGCCUUCGGGUUGUAAACCUCUUUUAGUAGGGAAGAAGCGAAAGUGACGGUACCUGCAGAAAAAGCACCGGCUAACUACGUGCCAGCCGCCGCCGUAA
rnacentral:rRNA from 1 species